rnacentral:lncRNA from 1 species
CUUUCUCACCUCACUCUCUCUCACUCUACAAUUAAUGUUCCCUCUGUCUUGAUCGAUCAAUCGCCGUCCAACUCCGCGCCGCCUGCACCACGUUAGCUUCCGUGGCGGUGGCCGCAUAGUCGAUGGAGCUGCUCCUCGCUCAAAGAUGUCAUCGGCGAUUGAAUGAGCCUUCCACGAUGUUAACUCACCACCGCAAUCCAAUAACACGAUGAACAAUGGCGAUAAGAAAAAAUAAUUAGGCAAGUAAGAGAUGAAAUUGGCAGACGACAUAAGUGACCCAUGCAACUCGGAGUUCUGAUACGCA